GUUGUAAAAUUAAAAAAUUUAUAUUGGAACUUUUUUUUCUUUUAACAUUCAUGUUUAUUUAAUUGAGUUACAACUAAGGUUAUAUAUGAAUUAUUUAUACUAUCUUAGAAUUUGCUGCUUUAGAGGCACGGCAUUUAGUGUUACAUUGUAGGUUUAAAUUGGUUGUAGAAUUUAUAUUGUAACUUGCAUAUUUAUUUAGUCGAGUUUAAUCUAAGUUUAUAUUUGAUGUGUUUGUAUUAUUUUAGAAUUUACUGUUUUAGACACGUGGCAUGUGGUAUCCCACUAUUACAACUAAGUUUGUGUAUGGCUUGUUUAUAUUAUUUCAGAAUUUGCUAUUUUAGACACUUGGUAUAAGCUGUCAUACUACACGUGGCUUGUGAUAUCCCACUAAUUAGCUAUUUUAAACAUGUGACAAGUGGUAUGACACUGUAUUGAUGUAUGUGAAAUGUAUAGAGUCUUUCAGUUAUCAGAUAAUGUCAAGGAGUUGACAGCAUGGUGUCCGAUUUAAAGUGCGACCCUGUGUACGAGUAACAACAGUAUUCAAAACCAAAACCUAUUUAAACUAACCAAACCAAAACUAGCGACCAAAAACUAAUAUCUUGGCAUUGAUUUAUUUUAAACAUCUAUUAUAUAUAUGUGUGUGUUUUAUAUAAAUGUACUAGCUUGAGU